UUAUAUUUGUGAGUAAUAUUACGCUUUUGUUAUUAUUUGCGUUUCUUAAACAGUUACCUGUGUGACAAAUUGUGUCUAAGUUAUGUACUUCAAUACAUCUUUUAUUCAUUCACACAAAUAAUGUACAUAACGCCUGCUUUUUUCCUUCUCAGAACAUCCACAUAAACCCUGAAAUUGUUCAGUAUUCUCUCAAACAGCCGUUUGAGUCACCUCAAAUGUAGCAGUGGGCCAGAUUGAAACGGUCCGAUGCACUUCACUUGCAAUGCAGAUCAUCAUUUCUGGACAGCUUUCUACUUACUGCUGUGGACAUGAAAGGCUUUCCCAUGCUGAUGGGCUGCACCACAGCAGUACUGGAGCUGAAUUCCUG